GAUGAACGCUGGCGGCGUGCCUAAUACAUGCAAGUCGAACGAAACUUCUUUAUCACCGAGUGCUUGCACUCACCGAUAAAGAGUUGAGUGGCGAACGGGUGAGUAACACGUGGGCAACCUGCCCAAAAGAGGGGGAUAACACUUGGAAACAGGUGCUAAUACCGCAUAACCAUAGUUACCGCAUGGUAACUAUGUAAAAGGUGGCUAUACUACCGCUUUUGGAUGGGCCCGCGGCGCAUUAGCUAGUUGGUAGGGUAAAGGCUUACCAAGGCAAUGAUGCGUAGCCGAAUUGAGAGGUUGAUCGGCCACAUUGGGACUGAGACACGGCCCAAACUCCUACGGGAGGCAGCAGUAGGGAAUCUUCCACAAUGGGCGAAAGCCUGAUGGAGCAACGCCGCGUGGGUGAAGAAGGUCUUCGGAUCGUAAAACCCUGUUGUUAGAGAAGAAAGUGCGUGUGAGUAACUGUUCACGUUUCGACGGUAUCUAACCAGAAAGCCACGGCUAACUACGUG
rnacentral:rRNA from 1 species